UGGGAUCUCACGUUACAAAACGUCGAUGCAGAUGGUACCUCAAUCGGCAGUUAUCGCCUCACGUCAAAGGUUCCAGUUGGACUACAACUCGAGGACUCAUGCUUACGGGUUUUAUGCGGAGUCGUCGUGUUAAGCACGCUGUUUUUCUAGCGCUUACUGUCCAGCCAGCCCUGGGGCGAGCAUCAAACUAAUUGUCAGCACGUAUAGCAACCCAAGCCCAAGCGCCCAUGCCGUAAAACCAGCUGUCGUAUGUGCCUCCUGCAUCCAGCGUACGGCACCCCAACAAGCCGAGCGAUCGGGCACAAUCUUUAGGGCCGCAUACAUGAUCAUCCAAACCAACGAAUUCCCACGAUAUUCC
rnacentral:lncRNA from 1 species